GAGGCAGUCGUCUAGUGGUAGGAUAGGGCCCUUAUGAAGAGUUCUGAAAUUAUCGCUCCCGGUCAAUUAUAACUUACUGCUCAUUGUGCCAGGGCGCUGACGCCGGUUCGAUUCCGGCCUGCUUCU
rnacentral:tRNA from 1 species